rnacentral:lncRNA from 1 species
UCCGCGCGGGGAUCGGCUCUGCGGAGGCGGCGGAAGGCGCGGCCGGCCCUGCGGAGCGGUGCGGGUCCUCUCGGAGAGCGAAGGGCUCUUCUCUCCGCCCUCCGGAUCAGUAACCCUCUGUACCCCGGCUUUCCUGCAAAGGAAAGCCCGGGUAGAAAUGAUUAGGAGCUCCGCCCUGGCGCUGUCGCUGCUGCCGUUAGCGUCCGCCCGACACAAGCCUGCCGCACACAGCAAACUUGGACCGCGUGGGGCGCGCGGGGUGCGCGGGGCUUCCCUGCCCUCCUGCUGCUCUCCGACCUGCCUCGCCCCUGGCCGUCCCAGCUCCCCGGGGUGCGCUCCGAUUGGGGCUGUACGAAACAGUUUCAGCACCAAAGACAUGGGAGUGACGAAGAUGCACGAGGCCUGGACCCUGCGGAGCUCACAUUCCGGUGGGAUAGAGACAGAAAACAGGCCCGUACUAUAAUAUCCGGUAACGGAAAGUAGGAAGAAGUAGGAAGGGCUAGAGAGUAACAUGCAGACUUGCUGGUAGGAAGGGCCUCUCUACGGGGUAUCAUUUGAACAAGAUGCCUCAAGGGGAGGAAGAGCCUCGGAUAGCAAGAUCUCGGACCAUGGAUAGAAGAGCGAAUGCAGAGGUCCUAGACCAAGGGCCGACUUAGUGUACUGGGAAAAGAAAGAUCAGUAUGGGUAGAAAAAUGUCACCGAGGAAAUGUCGCAGAAGGUAAAACAGAAAGGUAAGCAGAGGCCAGGUGAGGCAGAGCCGCUUAGCCGGUGGUAAGAAAAUUUCAUUUUAUUCUGAGCGCAGUGGGAAGAUAUUGAAGAACUUGCAUCAGUGUGAUAGAAUGUAAUUUGGGCUUUUGAAGACUGCUGUGGCCGUGCACACGUUCGAAGUUAUUAAGUGGCAUAAGCAACGAGUGCUUAGCGUGGGGAGGCUGCGAAGGGGACUGUUUGAAAUGAGCCUCCGUCUCCGGAUGGAAAGGCAGGAUCUGUGAUGGAAAGAGGAACAUUUCAUCAGUGUCCCCUGGCUGCGGCCUUAGACACCACAUGGCAGCGAUGCGUGCCCUGAAUGCUUGGGGCGCUUUCUACCCACCUGCCUGUAAACCAUGCAAAGUCUGGGGCCCUGUGCGCCUCCACCACGCGGGGCUGCAGAGUCGCCUCCACUCCCCUCUCCUGCUCUACAGUAGGUAUUCCUGGAAGAGCCGUCUCCUGAGGUUGACUUGCUCCACUGAGGGGGAUCUGGGCUCCUCCCGACUGCAGGGAGCCCUACAGCCCCCGGAUACACUGCAGUAGCUCAGUGGCAGAUUGGAGCUUGCCCAGUGCAGAUCGAGCCAGAAUGGAGAGCAGAGAAAUCUCCCUUCCCACCCCUACUCUCCUCGUGGCAAACAAACCACUUGUUCUGGUGACCGGUUGUGGCUCUGCUCACGAAGCAGGGACUAGCUUGUAACUCGUCAUCUUGAAUUUGUGCCCGAUCGUUUUCUGUCUAAUUUUCCUGCUCCCGUAUGCUCACGACCUUAGUUCACACCUGCCACAAAACCAUCAGUACUUAAGUCCCUUCUCCGGUUUUGUUUUCUACAGAAGCCGAGCUAAAGCCAGGGGAUCCAACCUCCAGUGUGAGGUGUGUUAAGGUUGAGGUUUGUGAUAAAUACAAAUAGGGUUUUGGACAUGUAUGUCUAGACUGUGGAGAAGAGGUCCAGGUAGGCCAAGGCUUCUCAUCCUCAGCACUGCUGACAUUUGAACGAGUUACUGCUGGGCUGUGGAGGGCUGUCCUGUGCAUUGGAGGACAUUCAGUAGCAUCCCUGGUCUCACUUCUGGAGAUACCAGCAGCACCAGUGCCCAGUUGUGACAACCAAAAAUUUCUCCGGGCACUGCCCGAUCACCUGCCCAACCACGAGGGUGGAUGUUGUGGUUAGAUCUGACAUGUCCCCCAGAUUCUCUUGUGUGUGGAAGGCCAUUGGACCAUGGGGUGACUUUCUGUUGGGAGGGGGUCUGGCUGGACCAGCCCCUGGGACAUCUCCUCACUUUGCUUCCUGUCUUCCAGGGGAUGAGCAGCUGUCCCUCACCCGAACCCUUCUCUUGGCCCAUUUCUGCCGACUCCACUGAAACCACCAAAAUAAACCUGUCUUCCUUUAAGUUGCAGGUGUGGGUAUUGUGUUUCAGUGACAAAGAAGGUGACUAAGAUUGAAGGAGAGCACUUGAGCACGAAGGUAGAAGGAGAAGAGGAAACAUUCAGAGAUUGUGCUUCAGGAUGGGAGGCCAGGCGGAGAAGGAAGAGCUGGCAACACAGCCAAGAGGGAGCAGCUGGCAAGAACCCCUUUCCACAUAGCCAUGUGCCAGCAGAGAAGCCCACUGCCUGGGGAUCUCAUUCAGGAGUUGACUUGUGACCCAGUUAUGGCCACGGAGAUUCAAGCCAGGAUGUGGUCAGGGACAGGUUUCCUGGAUGGUAAGAAAAAGCCAUAGAAAGACAGCUUUCUUCUCUGGAUGAGUCAUUGCUGCACCCAUCCUGUCACCAACAUGAAUGAUUAAGCCAACAAUGAUGAUGUCAUGGCACAUACAGGGAAAAAGCUCUAGAAUCUGGUGAUGUCAUUGAGCUGCUGAGUCAGUCAGCCAUGACGCUUUCUUACUAUGGAUAGAAGUGUUGGAAAAUUCAAUAACUUUCCUCGUUGUUAAGUUUGAGUUGUGCUUGCCAUUAGAGCUCAUGAACAAAUGUCUCAUUAAAAAGUGUAAGCAGACUUACUAAAUGUUGUGGAUAAUAUUGGGCAAAUUAUUUAGAUGAAGGAGCUUGUGUCAAUUAAAACUCUUUCUGAUGAAAAUUGUGACCCAGUAUGACUGAAACAGAAGAAAACAAAAAGAUUUAUUGGCUAAAACAACUGAAACAGGUAUGAAGCUUCAGGAAAGUUUUUAUCCAGUUCUCUGUACAGUGGUGCCUCGCUUCACAAACUUAAUUUAUUCUAUGAUUUUGGAAAAGAUGGCCAUGUUUGUGUUUGUGUGGGAAAAAUGACCGUGGUCUUGUUUGUCACCUGAUGCAGAGUUUGCAAACAGAAGCAAAAUUGUGCCAAAUGCUUCUGUUUGUGAACCAAAUUGUUUGCAAACAAAAGUGUUCAUGAACCUAGAUACCUAGGACCUAGGACUUAGGACCUAUUAUUUGAACUUCUCCAUUUCAGCUUUCUUCCAGUCCCCAGUGCUGACCCUGCUCUCAAGCUGACCUUUUACCAGCAACUCCUAAGGCUGUGUACCCCAUGGGGUAGAGCCGCUUCUCUCACGGCUCAACCAUGGUUUUGGAACCAGGUCUCAGUGACCCUGAUUGGCCUGACUUGGGUUGCUGGCUCAUCCCUGAACCCACACUGCAGCCAGAAAGAUGGGGAGUCCUGGUUAGAUGAAGGAAAUUGAGAUUCAUUUUUGGAGACAGGCUAGGGUUCCUCUCACCCAAAUUCUGAGGUUGGAAAGGAUAGCAGAGGACAGUAUGCUAAGGCAGUAAUCAACAAAUUUCUGGAAUAGCAAGUGUUAGAGUUAAGGAUGGUUUCCAAAUCUCUAGCUUGAGCAUUCUGGAGGGAAAUAAGGAAGCUCUUCUAGAAAUCAGUUGUGAUGAGAAAUACAAUGCAUUGUAGCUACCAACUGGUCAUUGGUGAUUGUGCAUUGAAACGGGUUUCAGGGAAGUAGUGGGGACAGAUGCCAGACUACAGCAGUGAAAGAAUUAAAUGGAGUGAGCACAUUAUGGCAGGGCAAGUUGGCCUUCUUCAAAAGCUUAGAACUAAAGAGUGAGAGAAAGCUAAAAGUAAUAACUAAAAGAAGCCAUGCAGUUAAAACAUUUUUUAAUAUAAAAGAAAUUUGUGCAUGCUUAAACACUACACAAUAUGAGAAAGAUUAAAAUAAAAGACAUAGGAGAGAAACAGGAUAAUUAAUGGAUCGAGAUACCUAGGAACAAUGAGAUUCAGCAUACAACUAAAAUAAUCUUAAAGAAGAGUAAGGAACCAUUUUUACUGUCAUUGAAGGAAAGAGAUGAGGACAGAUGACAAUGAAUUACUGCAUGUGCAAUGGGGAGUGAAUGCAGGAAGUGGAGGGGGACCCCAUCUGAAGGUUUGUAGCUUCUUGCUGAAGUAGAUGUUACCUACUGCUGGGUGUAUGAAAGCCUCCGUGAAGAGAGGGUGGAUUAGGAAAGAAUGUAGAGCCCACAUCAUCUAGAGUGCAUGUGGCCUAUUAUCACGGACCCAGUCUCACCCACGAUCAUCAGCCAGUCCAAUGGCGGGAACAAUCUAUUUCUCAACUAUAGCCACCCAGGAGAUGACUUCACACUGCACCCAGACCCAACUGGAUGGAAGCCCAGAGUCUUCGCGCUUGGCCUCCCCUUCACAUUCUGUCUGGCUCUCUGCCCUCUCUCAGGCUCCCAGCUCUCUCCUCCCCUUCCCUGAGGCAGACUGGAGACAGCUUCGGUCCUUUGUGCUGAGCCCGGAGAGGCCAUGUUUAUUCCUACUGAAGCAGGUGGGGUCUCCUCGAGGGUCCUCCCAAGAAAACCCAACUUUUCUCUUCCUAAUGUUGAUCACCUCUCAUAGUAAUAACCAAACUGUGUAAUUUUGAGAAAAGGCCCCCCUCUCCACCAGGCGAGAGAAUGGGAAGAAUGAAAAGAGGUGAAGGGCACAUAUAGAAGACUCCCAAGAAAGUAUCAAAGACCCAAUUGAGAUAAAAACCCAGAAAACAGAAAUACUGAUUUGUGUGUUGGUGUGACUUUCCUCAAACAAAAAAGAGGCAUCUGUGGUGUUGAACAGAAAAGAAAGCUGACAGAACUGGUAAAUACAAAAAGAUGCUGAAGUGAUGUGUAGGUCUAUGAAGUAGAAAACACAUGAGGUGCAAGAGCACCAACCUUCACUUCUGCCCUGGCUAGGAAUGCAUGGGGAAGUUCACUGCCAUUGUCGCAGUACAGGCGAGUGGGCUGAUGCUGGCAUUAAUGGGUGGCCAGUCAUCACCACUGUGGGCUCCUGGUAGAAAGAUGAAUUCGGGGCUAGGAUGUAGCUUGGAGGUGGAGCAAGUGCUUUGCAUGUGUGAGGCCCUGUGUUUGCUCCCCAGCACUGUUACAAAGAGCAGACUAAGUUGAGCUUGGCCAAUUUUCCUCUGUCUGGGUUUCUUUCUUGCCCUGUGCUGUGUUAUAUGAGGCAGUACGAAGGUCUUCUCCACGUACCAGUGCCAUGCCAUCCAGCCUCCAGCACCAUGAGACAAAAUAAACUUCUGCACUUCACAGGUAACCGAGUUGAUGGGGUUCUGCUACAGCAGCAGAGAACAGACUGAUACAGUUUCUUACUAAAAAUAAUACACGGGGACUAUUUAGUAUAUAUGUGGGGCUGGGGAUUUAGCUCAGUGGUUCUGCCGCCUGCCUCACAACCACAAGGACCCGAGUUCAAUCCCCAAUACCAAAAAAAAAAGAGUAUAUAUGUGUCUGAUGGUGUUGAGCUCUGAGGCCUCUAUUGUCUGAUUUUCUCUGGUUUCCAGUGAUGGAAUUUGUUUCCAGGGAUAGAAUUUGCCCCUGCUUUCAGUAUUUCCAUAGACCUGUAACCUGUCAAGUCUCAGUCACAAGAAAUACUCUCAUGAAAUAUUUUUGGAAAGAUAUAAUUCAGACAUUAUUCUGGAGCUGCACUGUCCAGACUGGAACCAUAAGCCAGUAUGGCUACUUACAUUUCAAUGAGUGGGAAGGGGAGUUGAAUAUCAGUUCCUCAGUCCACUGGCCCCUCCAACAAGGGUGUGAACAUCACACCAGACAGUGCAGCUGUGGACCAUCUCCGCCAUCACAGGAAGUUUGCCAAGAACAAGGCUGCCUCUGAGAUGCCCUUGGGUCACUCCAGGUGACUCAUGAGCUCAUACAAGGGCAGCACAGAGAGGUAGUGUUUUUGUCUUUAGCUUGCAGUGGAGGAACAUCACAGAAAAACAGCCCUGUUCACUCAUGAUGGUGACGGAAGGCUCUUGUCACCCAGUCUCUUACAUAGUGUCUUCUUUGAUGAACAUCCUUGAAAGAAAUCUUAUUCUUCAUGUCAGAGAAAGCCAAGGUUCUCUUAAAGGUUGGGUUGUUUUCAUCUUGUGGUUACUGUGAUUCUGGAAGUUGACUGCAUUUGUCUUCCUGUCUUCUUGCAACACUGAGAGCCAGGUCUGAAGACCCCUUCCGGAACCCAGUAGGACCCCAUGCUAUGCGUUUCUCCCCAGCCCCUGUGUAGGAAGGAGGGGGGAGGUUUCAGCCCUCAUUUCCUUUCUAUGUUUUAUUUUAUGUUUUUGAGUUGCACAUAUUUUUUAAACUUCACAAAUUCUUCCUAAAAGAGAAGUAAAAUGUAAGUAGUACAUAGAACCAUGACAGACAUAGGGUUAGACUUGCAUGCAUGCACUCACCAUUCAUGCCCAACACAGAUACAUGUCCCUGGGAUGAGAGCAUUAACAAAAA